rnacentral:rRNA from 1 species
ACGCUCGACACCUACGGGAGGCNGCAGUGGGGGAUAUUGCACAAUGGGGGAAACCCUGAUGCAGCGACGCCGCGUGAGGGAAGACGGUUUUCGGAUUGUAAACCUCUGUCUUCAGGGACGAUAGUGACGGUACCUGAAGAGGAAGCCACGGCUAACUACGUGCCAGUAGCCGCGGUAAUCUGAGCGGGCUGGCAAGGC